UAACAUUCCAAAUUGGCUCUUAAGAGAUUAUUCCAGAAUUGUUGCUCUCCCAAUUAUGAAUAUUAUUAAUACUUCAUAUCGUGAACAGCAAUUGCCUGCAUGCUGGAAGAUGACAGAUGUAUCACCACUGCCCAAGAAGAAGCCGGUUAAGGACCUAAAGAAAGAUUUAAGACCAAUCUCGUUAACCCCUAGCGUAUCCAAGGUUGCGGAGGGGUUUGUGGUUGAGGAUUACGUGAAGCCUGCCAUUUUAAAAGUUAUCGACCCAAAUACUACUACUAUCGCGCUAAUUAAUAUGUUACAUCACUGGUUUUUAGGAACAGAUGGAAAUGGCUCAACGAUUAGGACAAUUCUGUUUGACUAUCGUAAAGCAUUCGACUUAAUCGACCACGGUAUACUGAUUGAUAAACUAAGCAGAUUGGAAUUACCUCCAAGUGUUAUAAACUGGAUAAUUGAUUUUCUCACCGAUAGAUUUCGGAGAGUUAAAUUAGCUGAUGAUUGUUUUUCGGAGUGGGGAUCAGUCCCUGCAGGAGUACCACAGGGAACUAAGCUAGGCCCCUGGCUGUUUGCUCUUAUGAUAAAUAAUUUAAUCAUUGAUGAUGCACAUACCUGGAAAUACGUAGACGAUGGGUACUAGUGAUGCCCAAAAUAUAGUUGAUCAAGUGGUUACGUGGUCUAGUAAUAAUAGAAUUAAAUCAAGACAAGUGUAAGGAAUUGAGAAUAUCGUUCGCGAAUCAACCAGCAAUCUUUGAUCCAUUAACCAUUAAUGGGAAAGAAUUGGAAGUUGUUAAAACAGUAAAGCUGCUAGGACUCACUGUCAAGGACAACCUUACUUGGAAUUCUUAUGUGGACGAGGUUAUAAAGAAAGUGAAUAAAAGAGUGUACUUUUUAGUGCAAUUAAAACGGGCGAGAGUUCCACCACAAGAUUUAGCGCUGUUCUAUACGUCGUGUGUCAGGUCAGUUGUGGAUUACGCGAUUCCUGCCUUUUACCAUUGUCUCCCCCAAUAUCUGAAGCGUGAGUUAGUGCGUCUCGAGAAAAGAGCUAUAUCAAGUAUUAUGCCGGAAGUUGACUAUCUAACAGGUUUGGAACGAUUAGAUAUUAAGCCCAUGAAGGAUCAUCAUGAAUAUUUAUGUGACAAACGUUUUAAGUCUAUUAUUUUUAAUCCUGAUCACAAAUUAAAUAGCUUAUUACCAGCAAGAUAUAACACGAAUUAUAACCUGAGAAACCAAAGGAACUUCAACCCCCCACAAGUCAUGACUAAUAGAACAAUGAAUUCCUUUAUCUUCUCUAUGUGUAGCGCAUGAAACUUGAUGUUUAUUUAUUGGAUGUUCGUAUACAAUUAUUAGUGUAAAUUAGCCUUUUAAACUUUUUAUCGUAAUUACUAUUAUAAUAGUCAUACAAUUAUUAGAGUAAAUUAACCUUUUAAACUUUUUACUCCUUAAUCAUUUAAUACCACCUUCUCGGGCCAAUGAACACAAUUGUAAUUUAAGGUACGGAAGUAGAUUAACACUGUUUCCUUGUAAGACGGAGCGCUUUAAUUAAGAAAAGCUUUUUUCCUACUAUGUGUAUUCAAUCACAUAAUUUAUAAAUUUUGUAAAUUUUGUAAAUUUUGUAAAUUUAAAAGUUCUUUCGAUAUUAAUUCAUAGAUCAGUAAACUAUUGUUGUAAUAUAAUGCCAGUAACACAAGGUACUUUUUAAUAUUUUUAACUAAAGUUUGUAAAUAAUUUCGCAAUUCGCUUUCAUCGAGCG